UCUGAACACACAGCUUGCAGGAGCAGC
rnacentral:piRNA from 1 species